AUUGAACGCUGGCGGCAGGCCUAACACAUGCAAGUCGAACGAGUGGCGGACGGGUGAGUAAUGUCUGGGAAACUGCCUGAUGGAGGGGGAACACUACUGGAAACGGUAGCUAAUACCGCAUACCAUCGGAUGAGCCCAGAUGGGAUUAGCUAGUAGGUGGGGUAAAGGCUCACCUAGGCGACGAUCCCUAGCUGGUCUGAGAGGAUGACCAGCCACACGGGAACGGGGACACGGUCCAGACUCCUACGGGAGGCAGCAGUGGGGAAUAUUGCACAAUGGGCGCAAGCCGGAUGCAGCCAUGCCGCGUGUAUGAAGAAGGCCUUCGGGUUUUAAAGUACUUUCAGCGGGGAGGCGUUACCCGCAGAAGAAGCACCGGCUAACUCCGUGCCAGCAGCCGCGGUAAUAC
rnacentral:rRNA from 1 species